UACGUAGGGUGCAAGCGUUGUCCGGAAUUAUUGGGCGUAAAGAGCUCGUAGGCGGUCUGUCGCGUCUGCUGUGAAAACUCAGGGCUUAACCCUGAGCUUGCAGUGGGUACGGGCAGACUAGAGUGCGGUAGGGGAGACUGGAAUUCCUGGUGUAGCGGUGAAAUGCGCAGAUAUCAGGAGGAACACCGGUGGCGAAGGCGGGUCUCUGGGCCGAUACUGACGCUGGAGGAGCGAAAGCGUGGUAGCAAACAGG
rnacentral:rRNA from 1 species